UAGGGAAUCUUCCGCAAUGGACGAAAGUCUGACGGAGCAACGCCGCGUGAGUGAAGAAGGAUUUCGGUUCGUAAAACUCUGUUGUUAGGGAAGAAAAAAUGUAUAGUAACUAUAUACAAAAGAGACGGUACCUAACCAGAAAGCCACGGCUAACUACGUGCCAGCAGCCGCGGUAAUACGUAGGUGGCAAGCGUUGUCCGGAAUUAUUGGGCGUAAAGCGCGCGCAGGUGGUUUAGAAAGUCUGAUGUGAAAGCCCACGGCUCAACCGUGGAGGGUCAUUGGAAACUAAUAAACUUGAAUGGAGGAGAGAAAAGUGGAAUUCCUAGUGUAGCGGUGAAAUGCGUAGAGAUUAGGAAGAACACCGGUGGCGAAAGCGGCUUUUUGGCCUGCAACUGACACUGAGGCGCGAAAGCGGGGGGAGCAAACAGG
rnacentral:rRNA from 1 species